rnacentral:lncRNA from 1 species
ACUCUUUCUCUCUCAACCCGAAUGACCCUGGCCAGGGAUUUGUCUGAGCAAGAACACAUGGGAUAUUCCUCUCAUGACGCCGAGAGUGAAUGAUCCUCUAUCGACACUCAAUAGCCCUCGUAAGGUUGACUAUCACUCCCAAUGACCAGCUGUACUAGAUCUGGGACAGCCAAACCUAUAAGUCUGGUAUCAAAGAGUGGAGCACUCAUAUAGGACAUCCUUGGUGUCUCAAGUCUAAGGACCAGAUACACCACUAGGACUACGGAAU